rnacentral:rRNA from 1 species
AGUGGGUGUAACGUACCUACUAGCCUACGACGGGUACGGGUUGUGAGAGCAAGAGCCCGGAGAUGGAUUCUGAGACACGAAUCCAGGCCCUACGGGGUGCAGCAGGCGCGAAAACUUUACAAUGCGGGAAACCGUGAUAAGGGAAUCUCGAGUGCCAGCAUAUAAUGUUGGCUGUCCAGAUGCCUAAAAAGCAUCUGUUAGCAAGGGCCGGGCAAGACCGGUGCCAGCCGCCGCGGUAACACCGGCGGCCCGAGUGGUAACCGUUAUUAUUGGGUCUAAAGGGUCUGUAGCCGGCCGGAUAAGUCUCUUGGGAAAUCUGGCAGCUCAACUGUCAGGCUAUCAGGAGAUACUGUCUGGCUCGAGGCCGGGAGAGGUGAGAGGUACUUCAGGGGUAGGGGUGAAAUCUUGUAAUCCUUGAAGGACCACCAGUGGCGAAGGCGUCUCACCAGAACGGACCUGACGGCAAGGGACGAAAGCUAGGGGCACGAACCGGAUUAGAU